GUAGGUGGCAAGCGUUGUCCGGGAAUUAUUGGGGCGUAAAGCGCGCGCAGGCGGUUCUUUAAGUCUGAUGUGAAAGCCCACGGGCUCAACCGUGGGAGGGUCAUUGGAAGCUGGAGAACUUGAGUACAGAAGAGGAAAGCGGAAUUCCACGUGUAGCGGUGAAAUGCGUAGAGAUGUGGAGGAACACCAGUGGCGAAGGCGGCUUUCUGGUCUGUAACUGACGCUGAGGCGCGAAAGCGUGGGGAGCAAACAGGAUUAGAUACCCUGGUAGUCCACGCCGUAAACGAUGAGUGCUAAGUGUUAGGGGGUUUCCGCCCCUUAGUGCUGCAGCUAACGCAUUAAGCACUCCGCCUGGGGAGUACGGCCGCAAAGGCUGA
rnacentral:rRNA from 1 species